rnacentral:rRNA from 1 species
UACGAAGGGGGCUAGCGUUGCUCGGAAUCACUGGGCGUAAAGGGUGCGUAGGCGGGUCUUUAAGUCAGGGGUGAAAUCCUGGAGCUCAACUCCAGAACUGCCUUUGAUACUGAAGAUCUUGAGUUCGGGAGAGGUGAGUGGAACUGCGAGUGUAGAGGUGAAAUUCGUAGAUAUUCGGAAGAACACCAGUGGCGAAGGCGACUUACUGGACACAUACUGACGCUGAGGUGCGAAAGCGUGGGGAGCAAACAGG